rnacentral:rRNA from 1 species
CUGGCGGCGUGCUUCAUACAUGCAAAGUCGAACGAUAAGGUCUCUCGGAGAUACAUAAGUGGCGGACGGGUGAGUAAAAUGUAGAGAAUCUGCCCUAGAGUGGGGGACAACAGUUGGAAACGACUGCUAAUACCGCAUAUGAGCGUAGCUGAAAUGCUAUUCUUGAAAAACUCCGGUGCUCUGGGGAUGAGUCUGCAUCUGAUUAGCUAGUUGGGGGUGUAAUGGACCACCAAGGCGACGAUCAGUAGCUGGUUUGAGAGGAUGAUCAGCCACAAUGGGACUGAGACACGGCCCAUACUCCUACGGGAGGCAGCAGUAGGGAAUUUUGCGCAAUGGGGGAAACCCUGACGCAGCAACGCCGCGUGACCGAUGAAGCCCUUCGGGGUGUAAAGGUCUGUCAGUGGGGACGAAACUUGACGGUACCCACAGAGGAAGCAUCGGCUAACUCCGUGCCAGCCGCCGC